rnacentral:misc_RNA from 1 species
UUUCCGUAGGUGAACCUGCGGAAGGAUCAUUAAAGUUAUAGUCCCCCGGCCCCUCCGGGCUGGGGUCUUCUAUACCACCCUUUGUUUAUUACACCUUUGUUGCUUUGGCAGGCCUGCCCUCGGGCUGCUGGCUCCGGCCGGCUCGUGCCUGCCAGAGGACCUAAACUCUGUUUGUAUAUGAAGUCUGAGUACUAUAUAAUAGUUUAAACUUUCAACAACGGAUCUCUUGGUUCUG